rnacentral:rRNA from 1 species
GAUGAACGCUGGCGGCGUGCCUAAUACAUGCAAGUCGAGCGAACAGACGAGGAGCUUGCUCCUCUGACGUUAGCGGCGGACGGGUGAGUAACACGUGGAUAACCUACCUAUAAGACUGGGAUAACUUCGGGAAACCGGAGCUAAUACCGGAUAAUAUAUUGAACCGCAUGGUUCAAUAGUGAAAGACGGUUUUGCUGUCACUUAUAGAUGGAUCCGCGCGGCAUUAGCUAGUUGGUAAGGUAACGGCUUACCAAGGCAACGAUUCGUAGCCGACCUGAGAGGGUGAUCGGCCACACUGGAACUGAGACACGGUCCAGACUCCUACGGGAGGCAGCAGUAGGGAAUCUUCCGCAAUGGGCGAAAGCCUGACGGAGCAACGCCGCGUGAGUGAUGAAGGUCUUCGGAUCGUAAAACUCUGUUAUUAGGGAAGAACAAAUUUGUAAGUAACUAUGCACGUCUUGACGGUACCUAAUCAGAAAGCCACGGCUAACUACGUG